UCCGUAGGUGGAUAAUUAAGUCAGAGGUGAAAUCCUGCAGCUCAACUGUAGAAUUGCCUUUGAUACUGGUUAUCUUGAGUCAUUAUGAAGUGGUUAGAAUGUGUAGUGUAGCGGUGAAAUGCAUAGAUAUUACACAGAAUACCGAUUGCGAAGGCAGAUCACUAAUAAUGUACUGACACUAAUGGACGAAAGCGUGGGGAGCGAACAGGAUUAGAUACCCUGGUAGUCC
rnacentral:rRNA from 1 species